rnacentral:rRNA from 1 species
CGGACGGGUGAGUAAUGUAUGGGGAUCUGCCUGAUGGCGGGGGAUAACUACUGGGAACGGUAGCUAAUACCGCAUAAUGUCUACGGACCAAAGCGGGGGACCUCCGGGCCUCGCGCCAUCAGAUGAACCCAUAUGGGAUUAGCUAGUAGGUAAGGUAACGGCUUACCUAGGCGACGAUCCCUAGCUGGUCUGAGAGGAUGAUCAGCCACACUGGGACUGAGACACGGCCCAG